GCUGGGUGCGGUGACACAUGCCUGUAAUCCUAGCAGCUCUGGAGGCUGAGGCAGGAGGAUCAUGAGUUCAAAGGCAGCCUCUGCAAUGGUGAGGCACUAAGCAACUCAGUGAGACCCUGUCUCUA
rnacentral:sRNA from 1 species